UAGUAUUAAGGACUUAAAUAGGAUUAAAUAGGAAGAGGGUUUUAUUUAAUUAAGGAUUUGUUUCCCAAGAGUCUGCUGCCUCUUCUCCUUUGUUCCUCUCAAAGUCAAAAUCGUCACUACAACCAUUGUUGGAUACUCAGCUUUUGCUCUUUGUCUUCUAGCAUUCAUGGCCAUCGGACCUUUCUGUUGAUCAUGGAUAGAGGCUGGAUUCAUGAACCUAAGUUCUCUAAAAGAUAUGUUG